AAAGACAUAAAAAAAAAGGAAAAAGUGUAGUUUUUGUCUUUUAGUAAAAAAGUAAAGUAAAAAGAAAAAGAAAGGUUUUGGCUGGGGAUAGGCAGUGGGUACGGGGUUGGACAGCGAGGGGAGCAAGAAACGGUUUUCUGCAGGCACGUUUUGGACUAACAGGGAGGCAAUUUGUUUUGGUUUGACAGAGAGGUGAUUUGAGAUUUUGGGUAGCAGAGAACCACCUCCAACAAGAUCUCCAUUCCAAACCUCAUCACCAUUACACACACGCCAUUUUCAUCUCCACCAUAAUUUAUCACGCAUAGUUUACCUUGACCCAUGAUCACAGCCAUAGACACCCAAUCACAUUUUCCUCUUUUCGUUUUUCCAAUACCUCACCUUCAACAGAUCCAUCAUUCAGCCCUCCCACUACCCUGAAUUCAUCACUCCCAAUCAUUCAUCACUCUCGUUCUAUCACUCACACCACUACCUCUGGACCCAUCCUAACUACCUCGACACCUUCUUCUCAUUUUGACCUCCAAAAAGAAUCAUCCUUUGGUUCCAACCAUUCAUAUUCGUCCAUCGCCAUAGCACUCACAGCUACUACCAACACCUUACCACCAUAUUCCUCUUAAUCAAAUCUCCAUUUACUUUCUUCUUAUCAUAUUUUUCUCCUACUUUCCCUGGAUUCAAACAAAAAAAAAAAAACAAAUCCAUCUCUUUUCACUCCUGUUCAUUAUGUCAUCGUCUCCAAAACGCCAUUCAUCCCCAUUAACAGAGCCAUCCACCAAAGCAUCUUUUACUCCAUAAUCGCAUCCACCUUUUUUUUGUUUGCACCAUUACCUGGUCUCCAUUCUUUCCUAGCCUCAACAUCAUCUUUCACCUGCAACAACAAAAACAAACAGAUACUAAAUCAAUAACCCAAUCCUUCCCCCCACCACCACCACGUCUUCGUACACCACCUCCAAAUCAAACCCCUCACGCAUCACAACGUCAAUGCCUCUGCCUGUAGCCAGAAAAACCAAAAUAGAUUUCCCAACCUAAUAUCCAACCUGUUCCACCGAGGCAAAAUUCCAGCAACUUUCACUAUAUCACCAAGCCGAGUUUUCACAGUCUACACCACCCUCAUUGCUUCCAAAAUCAUUCACGGUCCUAGGCAAAAAGAAGAAAAACAGAGAACAAGUUUAAUCAGGAUUAUGUUUUUUUCCUUUUCUUUCUCCCCUUUCUCUAUGUUUUCCUUUUGUUCCUUUUUCACGCCACAAUCGGGUACGGGAAGGGAAGAGCGAGAUAGGCCAGGCGAGCAAAAAUCCAUCUCGCAAAAGGGCCAAAUGAAGAAAUCCUUGACUCUAGAAGCUGGUGUCCAAAGAAGGUGCUCCAACUGAACCCUCGCCGCGACCCGUGGCGCUGGUGGUGCCCUGGUUUGAGGCGGCAAAGCUCGCUCAAAGCGGCGAUUGACGGAGAAGGAAGAGAGGACCCGAAGCCAGGGUUGGUAACGCCUCCGGCGAUAAACGGUGGUGACCGGUGGCGGCUGGUCUCGCCUGUGAUAAAGAGCGCGCCCCGGGAUGCGUUUCUGUUUCUCGUACACGAGAAGAGGGAGAGAGAAGGCGGUGGCUCCGGCUAUAGGCGGCGUCGCUGGCGAUGCUAGGGGCCGCGGUUCGCAGCUGCCGGUUGAGUGAAGGUGAGGAUGGCGUGUUUGCCGACGUUUGAGUGCCUUGAGUUUCUGUUUUUCUGCAGAGAAGAGACCCUAGGUCUCGUGAGCUUUGAACAAGAAUGGGAUGAAGGGAGCAGACCCCUAAGUUUUCUGAAUGGGAAGAGCCAACCUGGGGCCAGCGUUGGGCCAAUUCAAUUGAAUAAAUUCCCUUUUCUGCACCCCCUUUUAUUCAUAUCUCGCACCCCACUCUCCUUUGGGCUUGAGCCUAUUCUGCUAGAAAAAGAAAAAACCUUUUCCCUUUUGCACCCCCCCUUUUCUACUUUCUGCCUAGGCCAGCUUUGGCCACACACAAAAAAAACGAAACAAAGUCCCUUCUGCACCCCCUGCUCUCUUCUGCAGCGCACCCCUUGCUCUCACUCUCUACACCCCUGGUUUCACUUGCGCCACCCCCUGUCGCUUGGGUUUAGGCCAGUUCGUUUUUUAAAGGAAAAAGGUUCAUACACCUUUUUGUUUUCCAUUUCCACACCCCAUUUUCUCAUUUAAGCACCCUAGUACCUUUUUCCUUUUUCUUCUAAUCUAUUUGUUAUUUUGUUUUUUAUAUUUAUUUAACUUUCUAUUUUAUUUCAUUUCAACUUUUUAUUUUUGUUUAUUUACUUAUUUAUUUUAUCUUUCCGUUUCAAAUAUUUACCUAUUCCAAAAAAAACCAACAAAAAUUAUUUUCAAAGGUUAAUAGCACACGUGCGAUCAUUCUGUCUGCCUUGUGCUAAAAACCUUUUCUUCUUCUUUCAAAAAUCAACAAAAAAAAUUAUUUUAAAAGGUUUAAGCACACGUGCGACCAUUCUGUCUGCCUUGUGCUAAAAACCUUCUUCUUCUUCUUUCAAAAAAUUAACAAAAAAAUUAUUUUAAAAGGUUUAUGCACACGUGCGACCAUUCUGUCUGCCUUGUGCUAAAAACCUUUUCUCUUUCUUUUAUAAAAAGAAAAUACCAAAAAAAUAUAAAAAUCUUCAAAAACUAAAAACAUCUUCCAAUGUACAAUCUUUCAG
rnacentral:lncRNA from 1 species